rnacentral:rRNA from 1 species
GACGAACGCUGGCGGCGUGCCUAAUACAUGCAAGUCGAACGCAGUGGGGACGGGUGAGUAACACGUGGGUAACCUCCCAUCAGAGGGGAUAACCCUUGGAAACAGGUGCUAAACCGAUACUGAUGGAUGAUCCCGCGGUGCAUUCGCUGGUGGGUGAGGAAACGGCUCACCAAGGCUACGAUGCAUAGCUGACCUGUGAGCGUGAUCAGCCACACUGGGACUGAGACACGGCCCAGACUCCUACGGGAGGCAGCAGUAGGGAAUCUUGCGCAAUGGACGAAAGUCUGACCGAGCAACGACGCGUGAGUGAAGAAGGUUUUCGGAUCGUAAAACUCUGUUGUUAGAGAAGCGUUAUCUAACCAGAAAGCCACGGCUAACUACGUGCCAGCCGCCGCGGUAAUUC